GGUUCCAUAGCGUAGCGGUUAGCACGUCUGCUUUUCACAUAGAAUGUCCUGGGUUCGCACCCCAGUGGAUCCA
rnacentral:tRNA from 1 species